GAUGAACGCUGGCGGCGUGCCUAAUACAUGCAAGUCGAGCGAACGGACGAGAAGCUUGCUUCUCUGAUGUUAGCGGCGGACGGGUGAGUAACACGUGGAUAACCUACCUAUAAGACUGGGAUAACUUCGGGAAACCGUAGCUAAUACCGGAUAAUAUUUUGAACCGCAUGGUUCAAAAGUGAAAGACGGUCUUGCUGUCACUUAUAGAUGGAUCCGCGCUGCAUUAGCUAGUUGGUAAGGUAACUGCUUACCAAGGCAACGAUGCAUAGCCGACCUGAGAGGGUGGACGGCCACCCUGUAACAGAGACACGGUACAGACUCCUACGGGAAGCAGCAGUAGGGAAUCUUACGCAAUGGGCGAGAGCCUGACGGAGCAACGCCGCGUGAGUGAUGAAGGACUUCGGAUCGUAAAGCUCUGUUAUUAGGGAGGAACAAAUGUGUAAGUAACUGUGCAGAUAUUGACGGUACCUAAACAGAAAGCCACGGCUAACUACGUG
rnacentral:rRNA from 1 species